AACGAACGCUGGCGGCAUGCCUAACACAUGCAAGUCGAACGAGACCUUCGGGUCUAGUGGCGCACGGGUGCGUAACGCGUGGGAACCUGCCCUUAGGUUCGGAAUAACUCCCCGAAAGGGGUGCUAAUACCGGAUAAUGUCUUCGGACCAAAGAUUUAUCGCCUUUGGAUGGGCCCGCGUUGGAUUAGCUAGUUGGUAGGGUAAAAGCCUACCAAGGCGACGAUCCAUAGCUGGUCUGAGAGGAUGAUCAGCCACACUGGGACUGGGACACGGCCCAGACUCCUACGGGAGGCAGCAGUGGGGAAUAUUGGACAAUGGGCGGAAGCCUGAUCCAGCCAUGCCGCGUGAGUGAUGAAGGCCUUAGGGUUGUAAAGCUCUUUUACCCGGGAUGAUAAUGACAGUACCGGGAGAAUAAGCUCCGGCUAACUCCGUG
rnacentral:rRNA from 1 species